rnacentral:rRNA from 1 species
AGUGAACGCUGGCGGUAGGCCUAACACAUGCAAGUCGAACGGCAGCACAGUAAGAGCUUGCUCUUACGGGUGGCGAGUGGCGGACGGGUGAGGAAUACAUCGGAAUCUACUUUUUCGUGGGGGAUAACGUAGGGAAACUUACGCUAAUACCGCAUACGACCUACGGGUGAAAGCAGGGGAUCUUCGGACCUUGCGCGAUUGAAUGAGCCGAUGUCGGAUUAGCUAGUUGGCGGGGUAAAGGCCCACCAAGGCGACGAUCCGUAGCUGGUCUGAGAGGAUGAUCAGCCACACUGGAGCUGAGACACGGCCCAGACUCCUACGGGAGGCAGCAGUGGGGAAUAUUGGACAAUGGGCGCAAGCCUGAUCCAGCAAUACCGCGUGGGUGAAGAAGGCCUUCGGGUUGUAAAGCCCUUUUGUUGGGAAAGAAAAGCAGCAGGUUAAUACCCCGCUGUUCUGACGGUACCCAAAGAAUAAGCACCGGCUAACUUCGUG